AUGCGGAGCAUCCGACGAUCAUCCCCAUGUACACUCGAGCCUACGCCAUUGGACCUAAGUUUCAUGUGGCAAAUGACGCACGGAGGACAACGGUCACGAGCGCAUUGUCGCAAGCUCAUGGGAGGGAGGCACACAUCUCAUCCAGUGGAAAAGCACGCUCCAAAAAAUCUCUAACCCUCCAUGGAGCCAUUGCUAGGGGGCGAAGAGAUCAACGCCACCCACUAGCCACCCGAGAUGUAGAAGUGCGGAGAUUUCUUGCCUGGCGUACAACAAUGCGUGUUCAAUGGGUCGCCUCUUCUCACGCACAAGUCUCAGAGGGAGACAACGACAGCUAUUCAGAAUAACCACAACAAAAUUGUGACACAGGUGGUUAGUGGGAGAAGGAACCUGAGACCGCAGCCGAUUUUGCAGCAAGGGUGGUGUGUACAAGAUAGUUGUAGCAAACAUAUAUAUAAGUCACUCUGGAAAAAGUGUGUAGUUAUUGUUGUAAUAGAGAUCCAUUCCUAUAUUUUCACUGAUAUGCAUGGUUGAAUAGUACUAUGUGUGAUAUGUGAGAGUAAUGUAAUACAAAAUGAAACAUGGUGGACAGGGCUUCGUGACUGAGCUGGCGAAGAAGAUGUCAGUGGUGGAAACGGACAUGUUAUAGAAGAUGUUGAGGGUGGCACUGGAGUUGAUGGCCAAAUGGGGUUCCUCGGCACCGAAGAGAAGGAUGCUGCAGCGACACGUACUGGGUUCCAUUUCCAACCAGAGAAGAACUUAUGAAUGGCACUAGAAAGGAGACGAUCCUAUCCACUGUCACAAUGAAACAAGAGAAACAAUUCCUUGCAGUCAUCUAUAAGCCUAUUCUUUAAUCCGUUCAAUUACAGAGUUUAUGAUUAUGUAAAUGGAGUAUGGGAUCUGAGAAGAAAAAAAGUUGCAUCUGAUUCAAGGAAGAUAAUGGACAAGUACAUUGGUAUGAACAGGUCGUCGACUUUGACAGAAAAUGCAUACAGAUUAUCAGUUUUCCUGCUGAGUUGUACUAUUAUGCUACAGAAUACACAUCAGCUAUUAUGCUACAUAAUACGCAUAAUUAGUUACAGAUCAGUAGGCUACUCAUCUGGUUAGUUUUCUCAAGUCAUUUCUUCUGUGUAUAUAUGUUAUUUUCCUUUUUACACUAACAAGAGUUUCGUGCUUUCUGGUAUGGUGUGGUGCUCCCCCCUUCAUUUAGUGAGUUCUUCCUUAAUGGAGGAUAUGGUAUAGGUAAUAGUGAGUGGUGUUCUAGCUUAUGCACUAUUUCCCCCUGGCCCGAGUUCCACACCAUGACAUGCCGCCGCGUCUGCCACGGUGCCGACGCCUCCCUGGCUCGCGGGACAUCCCCUGUUUAUAUUGUAACAGACUCCCAUGAAUACAAUUGAGUUGCAUCCUAUAAUCUUCUACAUGCGUCAUCCGGUUUUAAUGGACAGGUUCCAGCAAAAUAUGUUCCGCUACAGGGAAACUGAGUGGGAAGGGUGUGUUGUAGGGUGGAGUUCUUGUGUUGGAACAACAUGUUGGAGAUAACAUGGCGAAUAGUCCGUACAACUACAUUUCUUCCCCACAUAUGAGUUGGAUUUGGGAGAGCCUAGAUGGUUGAAUUUGGGGAGUCUGCUGGGCACCCAUUUGAACACGGCCGAACGUAUGAGGGAGAAAUGAGCUUCGACUUGUUUAAUAUUGUACAAAAAAUAUUUGCUGCUAAUAAUAAGACAAGUUCUGAUUUGUAAAUGCAAUAUUCUUCCAUGUAUACAGAAUUAAAGAUUGAA